UUUCCGUAGGUGAACCUGCGGAAGGAUCAUUAAAAAAUAUCGCUCGAUUGAAAGUGAUUUAAUAAUCAUCCUACCCUUUGUGAAUUUGUUGUUUGUAAUAAUUUUUUUUGAUUUUAAAAAAAAAUUAUUUAUGGUUUUGUCUAUCCCUAAAAUUGGUUUGUUGUGAAAUGAAUCAAUUUAGGGAAUAGGCUUUCAUAAAUAAGUUUUUUUUUAAAGUCUUAAAGACCUUUUUUAAAAUUAAACUUUUGUAUUCAUUUGUCUAAAUAUUUUUUAAAAUAAUUUAAAAACAACUUUUGACAAUGGAUCUCUUGGUUCUCGCAACGAUGAAGAACGCAGCAAAAUGCGAUAAGUAAUGUGAAUUGCAGAAUACGUGAAUCAUCAAAUCUUCGAACGCAUAUUGCACUUUUUUAGUUUACUAAAAAAGUAUGUCUGUUUGAGUAUCAGUAAAAUAUUCUCAUAAAAACAUUUUUGUUUUUAUGGUUAUGAGUGUUUUACAACGAUAAACAAGUUGUUUCACUUUAAAUUCAUUUUAAUUUAAGACCAUUUAUGGUUUUAAUAAUUAAAAUUGGAUAAAAUUUUCCCGUAAAAAGGAAUAAACUUUUCAGUUUUUUAAUUAUUACCAACAAAACGGGUCCGAUUUAAAAGGAAAUUUAUUUAAAUAACUUGAUCUCAAAUCAGAUAAGAGUACCCGCUGAACUUAAGCAUAUCAAUAAGCGGAGGAAAAGAAACUAACAAGGAUUCCCUUAGUAACGGCGAGUGAAGCGGGAAGAGCUCAAAUUUGAAAUCUUCAAGGUUCUACCUUGACGAAUUGUAGUUUAAAGAAGUGUUUUCUGUUAGAUGAGUAGCAAAAGUUCCUUGGAAUGGGACAUCAUAGAGGGUGAGAAUCCCGUAUUUGGUUAUUCAUUCUAGCUUUGUGAUACACUUUCAAAGAGUCGGAUUGUUUGGGAAUGCAGUCCAAAAUGGGUGGUAAAUUUCAUCUAAAGCUAAAUAUUGGCGAGAGACCGAUAGCGAACAAGUACCGUGAGGGAAAGAUGAAAAGAACUUUGAAAAGAGAGUUAAACAGUACGUGAAAUUGUCAAAAGGGAAGCGUUUGACACCAGUGUUGUUUUUCCAAAAAUCAAUUACGAAUGGCUUGAUUUUGUGUUGUAUGACCUUAUCAGCUUUCUGCACUUUUUUCGAGUCUUUCUUAAUGCACUUUUUGGUUAACAAGUCAACAUCAAUUUCUUUUGUUGUAAAAGAGUAUUCGGAAGGUGGCUUUCUUUUCGGAGAAAGUGUUUAUAGCCCUAUACUUCUACAAUCGGAGAGAUUGAGGUCUGCAGCGUAGAUCCUUCGGGGUUAGAUACAUUUGUGCUAAGUUGUAGCUUUUCAUAGACAACUUGUUGACUAUGUUUAGUCAUGCGGCUUACUCGCUUAUGCUAUUU
rnacentral:misc_RNA from 1 species